rnacentral:rRNA from 1 species
UGCGUAGGCGGAAAUAUAAGUCAGUGGUGAAAUCUUGCAGCUUAACUGUAAAACUGCCAUUGAUACUGUGUUUCUUGAGUAUAGUUGAGGUAGGCGGAAUGUGUAAUGUAGCGGUGAAAUGCUUAGAUAUUACACAGAACACCGAUUGCGUAGGCAGCUUACUAAACUAUAUCUGACGCUGAGGCACGAAAGCGUGGGGAUCAAACAGGAUUAGAUACCCUGGUAGUCC